CAAUCUUUUCUUCUGAUAGUCUCUUUGCAGCUGACUCUACUGAAAGCUGCAGGUCUCGUUCUGUGUUCUUGUCGAUGUUGAUCGAGAGAAUCAGGUUUCUCCUGCAUAUGAAUUUUAGUUGGGGAGUGUUGUUGUAGAAUCCUUCGAUCUUUACCACAUCUCCAAGCCGGUAUCGAUA